AUCAUUAAAGAGUUAUUACAACUCCCAAACCCAUGUGAACUUACCUUCUGUUGCCUCGGCAGGUCGUGACCUACCCUGUGAGGCCCUACCCUGUAGGGCCCUACCCGGUAGUCGCGGGUACGCCUGCCGGUGGCCCAUGAAACUCUGUUUAUUAUUGUCAUUCUGAAUCUAUAACUAAAUAAGUUAAAACUUUCAACAACGGAUCUCUUGGUUCUGGCAUCGAUGAAGAACGCAGCGAAAUGCGAUAAGUAAUGUGAAUUGCAGAAUUCAGUGAAUCAUCGAAUCUUUGAACGCACAUUGCGCCCAUUAGUAUUCUAGUGGGCAUGCCUGUUCGAGCGUCAUUUCAACCCUUAAGCCCCCGUUGCUUAGCGUUAGGAGCCUACAGCCUUCUGUAGCUCCCUAAAGUUAGUGGCAGAGUCGGUUUGCACUCUAGACGUAGUAAUUUCUAUCUCGUCUGCAGUUAGGCCGGUCUCUCGCCGUAAAACCCCCCUAAUUUUUAAAGGUGACCUCGGAUCAGGUAGGAAUCCCGCUGAACUUAAGCAUAUCAAUAAGCGGAGGAAAAUAAACCAACAGGGAUUGCCCUAGUAACGGCGAGUGAAGCGGCAACAGCUCAAAUUUGAAAUCUGGCCUUCGGGUCCGAGUUGUAAUUUGUAGAGGAUGCUUUUGGCGCGGUGCCUUCCGAGUUCCCUGGAAUGGGACGCCUUAGAGGGUGAG
rnacentral:rRNA from 1 species